UGAAUACGAGAUGCUACGGCGUCGAAGCAGUCUAUGUCAUACUUCCAAGAAAAGCUUGCACUGUCAUAAACAAAUAAUGCCUGUACCAUAACCGACACAGGUGGGUAGGUAGAGUAUACUAAGGGGCGCGAGAUAACUCUCUCUAAGGAACUCGGCAAAAUGACUCCGUAACUUCGGGAGAAGGAGUGCCUUAUUUUAUAAGGUUGCAAUAACAAGAUCCAAGCAACUGUUUUUCAAAAACACAGGUCUCCGCUAAGUCGUAAGACGAUGUAUGGGGGCUGACGCCUGCCCAGUGCCAGAAGGUUAAAGAAGUUGGUUAGCAUCCGCGAAGCUGAUAACUGAAGCCCUGGUGAACGGCGGCCGUAACAAUAACGGUCCUAAGGUAGCGAAAUUCCUUGUCGGGUAAGUUCCGACCCGCACGAAAGGCGUAAUGAUUUGGAUACUGUCUCAGAGAGGGGCUCGGUGAAAUAGACUUGUCUGUGAAGAUGCGGACUACCUGCACCAGGACAGAAAGACCCUAUGAAGCUUUACUGUAACUUGAAAUUGAAAUUGGACUUUACUUGCGCAGUAUAGGUGGGAGGCGUUGAGAAUAUUCUUGCGGGAAUGUUGGAGCCAUCAGUGAGAUACCACUCUUGUAAUGUUAGAUUUCUAACUUUGUAUCAUUAUCUGGUCAAAGGACAGUUUCAGGCGGGCAGUUUGACUGGGGCGGUCGCCUCCCAAACGGUAACGGAGGCGCACAAAGGUUUCCUCUGAACGGGUAGAAAUCGUAUCUAGAGUGUAAAGGCAUAAGGAAGCUUGACUGUGAGACCUACAAGUCGAGCAGGGACGAAAGUCGGUCUUAGUGAUCUGACGGUGCUGAGUGGAAAGGCCGUCACUCAACGGAUAAAAGUUACUCUAGGAUAACAGGCUGAUCUCCCCCAAGAGUUCACAUCGACGGGGAGGUUUGGCACCUCGAUGUCGGCUCAUCGCAUCCUGGGGCGGUAGUACGUCCCAAGGGUUGGGCUGUUCGCCCAUGAAAGCGGUACGCGAGCUGGGUUCAGAACGUCGUGAGACAGUUCGGUCCAUAUCCGGUGUAGGCGUUAGAAUAUUGAGAGGAGCCUUCUUUAGUACGAGAGGACCGAGAAGGACAUACCUCUGGUGUACCAGUUAUCGUGCCAACGGUAAACGCUGGGUAGCUAUGUAUGGAGUGGAUAACCGCUGAAAGCAUCUAAGUGGGAAGCCCACCUCAAGAUAAGUAUUCUCAC
rnacentral:rRNA from 1 species